AUGCUUUUCUUUUUCUAUUUAGUGUCUUUAUAUGAGAAGACACCAUCGUCAAACGUCUUAACAGCAUACAUAUUAUAAGGUAGCGUGAGACUAAAAUCAUUUGACAUCAUAUGAGAAGACAAAGCCUUGAACACCUUUUGACAAAUGGAAUUCUGAAUGGAAGAAGAAAACUGAGAGGAUACACAUAGAAAAGAUAUCCUUACAAGUUGGCUACAAAAAGUACCGAUCCCAUAAUUCGAUAAAUUGUGUGCGGUAUUCCGACGUAAGAGGUGAAAUUCUGGGAUGGCUGCAAGACGCACUGCUGAACUGAUGCCCUGUGGCAAACAUGUUUUCCUUGAUCAAGAGCGAAAAACGGAUAUUCGACGGCAAACAGAUACCGCCGAAGCACUGACCAUAAAUGAAACGGACUGGUGCUCAGCCGAUGUUUGCCCCGUUGUGAUGGAGUGUGUCCUGGGUGGAAAACCAUAGUCGGUU
rnacentral:rRNA from 1 species